rnacentral:tRNA from 1 species
GUUCCGGAUGGAGGUGACGGGCGCCUCAUAACCAGGCCGCAGGUUCAAAUCCUGCCCCCGCAACCA